rnacentral:lncRNA from 1 species
AAAUCAUUUUGAUAAGUGUUGUGAAUAAGCAAAACACAUUUUGUAAGAAAUGCAGUGAUGUUUCAAAAACAUGAUGCAUAUUGGUUUUAGUGCUGAGAGCCAUUACUUUCUUUCUAGACGAGCCAAUACCUUUGAUUUACCGACGAAUGACCAACCUAAAAAAAAUCUAACAUCAAAUCUUACAAUGUGUAGGUUGGGGUAGCAAAAUACACGUGUACAUACUCGAGAUGUUUAUUCGGUGAAGGGAUCAUCCCUACUUCUACUAGCGUGCCAGAAGUCCCUUGUUCUUUUUGAGGCCGAGUCUAUGUUAUCUUUGUUUCUUUUCUCCUCUUUGGCUCUCUCCUACCUCUGUUACUGCUUCCCCUGCCUCCUCCGACCGCGUGGGAGAGGAGCUCCUCUGCCCUGAGCCAUCUGAAAAGCAGACCAGCUACGUCACUCN